GCCAGACUCCUACGGGAGGCAGCAGUGGGGAAUAUUGCACAAUGGGGGAAACCCUGAUGCAGCGACGCCGCGUGAGUGAAGAAGUAUUUCGGUAUGUAAAGCUCUAUCAGCAGGGAAGAAAAUGACGGUACCUGACUAAGAAGCCCCGGCUAACUACGUGCCAGCAGCCGCGGUAAUACGUAGGGGGCAAGCGUUAUCCGGAUUUACUGGGUGUAAAGGGAGCGUAGACGGCAGUGCAAGUCCGGAGUGAAAGCCCGGGGCUCAACCCUGGGACUGCUCUGGAAACUGUAAGGCUGGAGUGCGGGAGGGGCAGGCGGAAUUCCUGGUGUAGCGGUGAAAUGCGUAGAUAUCAGGAGGAACACCGGCGGCGAAGGCGGCCUGCUGGACCGUGACUGACGUUGAGGCUCGAGAGCGUGGGGAGCAAACAGGAUUAGAUACCCGAGUACA
rnacentral:rRNA from 1 species